AAUUGGGUUGAGCAUUAAAAUAAACUGGACCAUAGGCCACCGUAGAUUCUAUCGAACCCAUCAAAGAUUGACGAAAAUUUAAAUUCCUCGCAUCUCGUAGAGCAGCUAAGAAAGUCUCUGGUAACCCUUUAAGAGUUAAAGGUUUAAAAGCAAUUUGAACCAUGCCAAUAUGCAAAAAUUUAUACUGAGAUUUAUAUAAUUCAAUAUCACGCUUAUUUAAUAAACGAAUAGUUUGUUCGGA
rnacentral:lncRNA from 1 species